CCUACGGGAGGCAGCAGUGGGGAAUAUUGGACAAUGGGGGCAACCCUGAUCCAGCCAUGCCGCGUGUGUGAAGAAGGCCCUCGGGUUGUAAAGCACUUUCAGUGAGGAAGAACGCCUGGUGGUUAAUACCCAUCAGGAAAGACAUCACUCACAGAAGAAGCACCGGCUAACUCCGUGCCAGCAGCCGCGGUAAUACGGAGGGUGCGAGCGUUAAUCGGAAUUACUGGGCGUAAAGCGCGCGUAGGUGGCUUGAUAAGCCGGUUGUGAAAGCCCCGGGCUCAACCUGGGAACGGCAUCCGGAACUGUCAAGCUAGAGUGCAGGAGAGGAAGGUAGAAUCCCCGGUGUAGCGGUGAAAUGCGUAGAGAUCGGGAGGAAUACCAGUGGCGAAGGCGGCCUUCUGGACUGACACUGACACUGAGGUGCGAAAGCGUGGGUAGCAAACAGGAUUAGAUACCCUGGGUAGUC
rnacentral:rRNA from 1 species